rnacentral:lncRNA from 1 species
CUGGUUUUGAGGAAGUGAGCUGCCAUGUACUAGGCCACGUGGCAAGGGCCUGGUUGGGGACCUCCAGGGGUUGAGAGCAUCCUCUGGACAACAUGGAAAAAGAAAAUGAAAAUGGUGACCUCAGCCCUAUAGCUAGAAGGAAUUGAAUCCUGUCAACAACGAUCUAUAGUUAAAAUACAUAGGGAAGGGCUUCAAGAUGGCUGACUAAAGGCACCUAGCACUCGCCUCCUCUGGAAAAAAGGACCAAAACAACUCAUCACUCACUGCAGAUGUUACUUUAAGACAUUCUGGAGCAGCGUCAUGUGCAGUCAUGUGAAAGUAUAUUCCAAACCCAGAACCUGAGCACAGAUUGGGACUGAGAAACACUUGUCUAGAUUGUCAGGCAAUCUGUAACAUCAGCAGUGGAUGGAAAGAAGGAGAAAGAUGAGUUUUAUGGACGCUAACCCAUCUAUAUGGCUUUGGAAAAUAAAGUACUGCUGUUUUUUUUUGUAAA